AUUUGUUAUGAAAAUUAUGACAAAGAUGGGGCUGACCUCGAGGUCCACGGUCAACCUAGGCUUCGGACACUGGCUCGCACUAAACAAUUCAGGUUCUUGGACAAGGCAAUGAUAAUUGACAACAUCGAUGCCUCAAGCAAUGCCAGAAAUCCAUGGAGGCUCUGCAACCUAAACCAAGUGGAAGAAGUGAAGUUAGUCUUCCGCCUGAUCCCCAUAUGGCUAAGUUGUUUAAUGUUCACAGCCAUAAUAGUUCAAACCAACACAUUUUUCACCAAGCAAGGCAGUACAAUGAUCAGAUCAAUCGGAUCAAACUUCCAGUUUCCUCCAGCAUCACUUCAAUCCCUUAUAGGCGUCACGAUCCUCAUUGCCGUCCCGACUUAUGAUCGAGUUUUCGUCCCGAUGGCCAGAAAAAUAACAGGACACCCCUCUGGUAUAACCAUGCUUCAAAGAAUAGGCAUUGGCUUAUUCCUAUCCGUUCUACAAAUGGCAGUGUCAGCUCUAGUAGAGACUAAAAGGGUCAGCACUGCAAGAGACCGUGGCCUUCUGGACAACCCAAAGGCAAUAGUACCAAUGGCGGUGUGGUGGUUGCUCCCACAAUACAUGCUCAGUGGACUAGCCGAUCUGUUUGCAGUGGUUGGGUUACAAGAACUGUUCUAUGAUCAAGUGCCGGAAGCGAUGAGAAGCAUGGGAGCAGCUGCAUAUCUAAGUAUACUUGGACUUGGGAGCUUCAUAAAUAGUGCCGUUAUUUCUGUAGUGCAGGCUAUUACCUCUAAGUAUGGACAUGUUUGGCUUGGAGAUAAUCUGAAUCGUGCCCAUCUUGAUUACUUCUACUGGGUGAUGGCAGUAUUGAGUGCUUUAAAUUUGUGUGUCUAUGUAUGGGUUGCUAACGGUUUUGUAUACAAGAAAGUUGAAGGUGAAGAAACAGAGGAGGGGGAGAAAAGAGUUGGUUCUUGAAGGGCAUUUAGAUUUGAACAUUUGAGACUGUAUAUAAAUGUGUGUGUGUGUG
rnacentral:misc_RNA from 1 species